UACGGGGGGAGCAAGCGUUGUUCGGAUUUACUGGGCGUAAAGGGCGCGUAGGCGGUCGUGACAAGUCACUUGUGAAAUCUCCGGGCUUAACUCGGAACGGUCAAGUGAUACUGUCGGACUAGAGUACAGAAGGGGCAACUGGAAUUCUCGGUGUAGCGGUGAAAUGCGUAGAUAUCGAGAGGAACACCUGCGGCGAAGGCGGGUUGCUGGGCUGUGACUGACGCUGAGGCGCGAAAGCCAGGGGAGCGAACGGG
rnacentral:rRNA from 1 species